rnacentral:rRNA from 1 species
CAUCGUCAGCGAUCCUGGCAAUUGUGCGGUUCGCGAUGUCGGAGACUUCGGUCUCGCGGCACGCGUCCGUAUGAUUUAUUUGCCGGGUGUCGUCGUCGUGCACUUCUCCCCUAGUAGGACGUCGCGACCCGUUGGGUGUCGGUCUACGACCCGGGUGGGCGCCCGUCAUGUGUCACGCUUUACGGCGUCAUGUGGCAGACCCCCGGUUGUCUGACCAGCUGCCCGGCGGUACUCGCACGGUAUCGAGUCGCAAUUAUAUUGCGUCCGGCCCGCCGCAAGCGAGGCCAGUGUUCCCGGAUGCACGGACUUAGUGCCGUCACCGGGCCUGGCCAGCUGUUGGCCGGCGGUGUCCUAGGACUGGCUCAUAAUAUAUACCGGUCGGCGACGCUACUGCUUUGGGUACUUUCAGGACCCGUCUUGAAACACGGACCAAGGAGUCUAACAUGUGCGCGAGUCAUUGGGAUCUGUUAAGCCUAAAGGCGCAAUGAAAGUGAAGGUAGGCCUUGCGCCAACCGAGGGAGGAUGGGCCGCGUCACGAUGCGGUCCCGCACUCCCGGGGCGUCUCGUUCUCAUUGCGAGAAGANGCG